rnacentral:rRNA from 1 species
CCUACGGGAGGCAGCAGUGGGGAAUAUUGGGCAAUGGAGGCAACUCUGACCCAGCAACGCCGCGUGAGAGAUGAAGGUCUUCGGAUUGUAAAGCUCUGUCGCAGGGGACGAAGGAUGACGGUACCCUGUAAGACAGCCCCGGCAAACUACGUGCCAGCAGCCGCGGUAAUUCGUAGGGGGCGAGCGUUGUCCGGAAUUACUGGGCGUAAAGGGAGUGGAGACGGUUUGUAAAGUUAAGUGUGAAAGCCUGCGGCUUAACCGCAGAAUUGCACUUAAAACUGACGCGCUAGAGUGCAGGAGAGGUGAGUGGAAUUCCUAGUGUUGCGGUGAAAUGCGUAGAUAUUAGGCGGAACACCAGCGGCGAAGGCGGCUCACUGGACUGUAACUGACGUUGAGGCUCGAAAGCGUGGGGAGCAAACAGGAUUAGAUACCCCAGUAGUC